GACCAGACUCCUACGGGAGGCAGCAGUGGGGAAUAUUGCGCAAUGGGGGAAACCCUGACGCAGCAACGCCGCGUGAGUGAGGAAGUAUCUCGGUAUGUAAAGCUCUAUCAGCGGGGAAGAAAGAGGACGGUACCCGACUAAGAAGCCCCGGCUAACUACGUGCCAGCAGCCGCGGUAAUACGUAGGGGGCAAGCGUUAUCCGGAUUUACUGGGUGUAAAGGGGGCGCAGACGGCCAUGGCAAGCCCGGUGUGAAAGGCAGGGGCAUAACCCCUGGACUGCACUGGGAACUGUCAGGCUGGAGUGCCGGAGGGGUAAGCGGAAUUCCUGGUGUAGCGGUGAAAUGCGUAGAUAUCAGGAGGAACACCGGUGGCGAAGGCGGCCAACUGGGCUUUAACUGACGCUGAGGCUCGAAAGUGUGGGGAGCAAACAGGAUUAAAUACCCCUGUA
rnacentral:rRNA from 1 species